rnacentral:lncRNA from 1 species
CUCACAAGGACUACCUUGACCAAGGUUUUGCUAAAUUGAAACAUGACUGUACACACCUCCUAAACUGGAGUGGUCAAUCCCAUCUUGACACACACACCAACAAGUCAAGUACUUGACUACACCCAGUAGCCUUCUGUCACUGAAUUAGAAAUUCAGGUAGUCCAGUGCCUAAGUGCAGUGAGUUGCUUGUAAGUCAUCGUGGCGGUCU